CGGCCGCAGUACCCUGACUGUGCUAAGGUAGCAUAAUAAAUUGAUUUUUAAUUGAAGUCUAGAAUGAAUGGAGAAACGGAGAUAAUCUGUCUUGUAAAAAAGUUUUUUAAAUUACUUAUAAGGUGAAAAUGCCUUUAAAUAAGAAAAUAGACGAGAAGACCCUAAGAAUUUUAAGAAAUAUAAUUAUUUAUUUUAAGUCUUUUUACUGGGGCGGUGAAGGAUUAAGAUUAACAUCCUUAUGUUUAUUAUCAAGCUUUGCUAAAACUUAAUAAAUUACCUUAGGGAUAACAGCAUAAUUUUUAAAAAGUUUGUGACCUCGAUGUUGGACUAGGAAAUUUUAAGACUAGCUGUCAUAAAAAAAAGUUCUGUUCGAACUUUUUCUCCUAC
rnacentral:rRNA from 1 species